AUACGUACCUGGCAGGAGAAAUACCAUGAUCACGAAGGUGGUUUUCCCAGGGCGAGGCUCAUCCAUUGCACUCCAGAUGUGCUGACCCCUGCGAUUUCCCCAAAUGUGGGAAAUUCGACUGCAUAAUUUGUGGUAGUGGGCGACUGCGUUCGUGCUUUCCCCUG
rnacentral:snRNA from 1 species